ACCGGAGAACAAGAGCAAACCAGUAAAAAAAAGGAAGGGCAGGAGGAGGAAAGUUAAAGAGAAAGCAAGGAGGUGGAGAAGCAAGGAAAGACAAAAGAAAGAGUGCCGUGAAUCACACCGCCUCUACCCCAUCCUCUGUGGCCCGACCCCGGAGCUCUGCCCGCUCUGCCGGCCGUCCACUAAAAAGACAUCAUAGCAAAGUUCCAGAAAAAUGACUCUGAGACACCGGUUGUCCGCAACUUCAAACUUCAGAGAUCAUCUAUGGCUGUGGCAAACGGGGCGUCAAUCAAACAGAAAGUGCUUUCAUGGUGUCAAAACAAAACACGCAAAUAUGAGGGUGUUUCCAUAGAGAACUUCUCAUCAUCAUGGUGUGAUGGGCUGGCGGUCUGUGCACUCAUCCAUCGCUUCUUCCGGACGCGUUGACUUC